rnacentral:rRNA from 1 species
UACGUAGGGUGCGAGCGUUGUCCGGAAUUAUUGGGCGUAAAGAGCUCGUAGGCGGUGUGUCACGUCGGCCGUGAAAACCUGCAGCUUAACUGUGGGCGUGCAGUGGGUACGGGCAGGCUAGAGUGCGGUAGGGGAGACUGGAAUUCCUGGUGUAGCGGUGAAAUGCGCAGAUAUCAGGAGGAACACCGGUGGCGAAGGCGGGUCUCUGGGCCGUAACUGACGCUGAGGAGCGAAAGCAUGGGGAGCGAACAGG